GCUUAUGAGUAGAAUUGAUUCUCCGUGUGCGCCGUGUGCGGAUAGCUUGCUAUGCGUGUGUGGCUGCGUGUGGAUUGAGUCGAGACGUAACUUAUUGCCGUUCGGGACGUUGACGAAAUGGAGCGAUUUGACCCGUCUUGAAACACGGACCAAGGAGUCUAACAUGUGUGCAAGUGUUAGGGUGUGGAAACCCCAGCGCGUAAUGAAAGUAAAGGAUAGCGUAAGUUAUCUGAGGUAGGAAAUGCUGCGGGUUCGUCCUGCGGCGUGGCACUAUCGACCGAUCAUGAACCCUUGUGGUGAAAGAUUUGAGUUUGAGCACAUAUGUUGGUACCCGAAAGAUGGUGAACUAUGCCUGAGUAGGGUGAAGCCAGGGGAAACUCUGGUGGAAGCUCGUAGCGAUUCUGACGUGCAAAUCGAUCGUCAAACUUGGGUAUAGGGGCGAAAGACUAAUCGAACCAUCUAGUAGCUGGUUCCCUCCGAAAUUUCCCUCAGGAUAGCAGCAACUUAUUUACGAUAGUUUUAUGAGGUAAAGCGAAUGAUUAGAGGAUUCGGGGAAGAAACUUUCUCGACCUAUUCUCAAACUUUAAAUCUGUAAGACCUGCAGGUUUCUUAAUU
rnacentral:rRNA from 1 species